AUUGAACGCUGGCGGCAUGCUUUACACAUGCAAGUCGAACGGUAACAGGCCUUCGGGUGCUGACGAGUGGCGAACGGGUGAGUAAUGCAUCGGAACGUGCCCAAUCGUGGGGGAUAACGUAGCGAAAGUUACGCUAAUACCGCAUAAGCCCUGAGGGGGAAAGCAGGGGAUCGCAAGACCUUGCGCGAAUGGAGCGGCCGAUGUCAGAUUAGCUAGUUGGUGGGGUAAAGGCCUACCAAGGCGACGAUCUGUAGCGGGUCUGAGAGGAUGAUCCGCCACACUGGGACUGAGACACGGCCCAGACUCCUACGGGAGGCAGCAGUGGGGAAUUUUGGACAAUGGGCGCAAGCCUGAUCCAGCCAUGCCGCGUGCGGGAAGAAGGCC
rnacentral:rRNA from 1 species